UGGCACACUCUCAAAAUGAAAUCCAGUGUUCAGAUACAAUAAUAAAAAGAAGAAAAACAAUAUUACCUGUUUAAAGAGAAUAUAAAAAUCCAAUUAAGUUCUGAAUUUUAAUUUGCUUGCAAGCAUGGGUUUGUUGCUCUGUGAAAAGAAUGAAAAUGUAAAUGACAUUUCUGUGUGUUAUCUACAUAAUCCAGAGGCUAGACUAUCCUGUCAUGUUUAUUUUGUCUAGUGAUGAUAAAACUAAACGGUUUUAACUGAAUUUCCUGUAAAUGUGCAAAUAAUCAAAAAUGAACAUCUUUGUAUUCUGAUCUUUCAUUAAUUUACGUAUAAAUGCUGUUAUAAAUAGAUUCGCUUUUACAAAAGAGAAUGAAUUUUGCCUGGCAUCUGACAGCGGUGACGGGCUUACAGCCCAUGAAGUGCUGUGGGUGGAAGAAAGCUGGAGCGGUCACUCACUUCCAAGCUGUGAAUUCAUCAAAAAACAAGAAGGGAAGCUCUGCGAUCAAAAGACUCAUAUGGCACCAGCCAUUGAUAGGCAGACGCAGACCAUUGUCCCCAGGUGUCACUACAUCUCCUAACCCUUCUUGUCCUUAAAUGCAGUGGAUCAGUCAUGGCCAUUUGCUAAGUCCUGUGCCUUACAUGAAUUGGUAGCACACACUGAAGGGUGGCAGAAUGAAAAGGUGGUGACCUGGGGGUGCAAGAGAGCGCCGGUGUGGUGGGAGGCUGCACGAGUGAAUUUGCUUCUGUUCCAGCCAUGGCUGGGGCAAUAAUCUCGGUGCAGUAAACUCUGCUUCCUAUUGCCACUGACUAUUCCUGCCUUUCCUUCUUUCCUUAGAUUUGCUUUAUCUGGACUAAAGAACAGAGAAAAACCUCUGUACCCGGACUCAUUACAGCAGGUAUGGGAACAGCAUUAUCUGAACCCAGAUUCUUCCACACUUCACAAAGUUAUGUACCUUGUUCUGCAUUUCUCCAAGUUCAGAAAGGUGGCAGCUUUCAUGCCUCUUCAUGUCCUGUAAAGUAAUUAAAGGACAGCCAGCUACUGGAAACAAGACACAUACUUCUCCUGGAGAUUUACCUGGAGUGAGAUCAAAAGGAAACUGCUUUCUCCCCUCGCUGCAUGAAGGUUCAAAAUUUGUUUUGACUAGUGACGCUAAAAAUAAAUAAAUAUAUGGAGUGACCUGAAUAACUUGAGCAAUUCCCUUGUGAUUAAGGCGGGAAGUGUUUGAAACAUGAAAAGUUGCACCCGUGUUCAAAUGAGAGAGGUCCUAGUUAAUUAUUUAGAGCAGCCGAAAGCUCAUCAAAAAUUUAACCAAGAUUUAUUUCUCUGUGAUUGUGCAGGCACCACAAUGUGCAGAAAUGGAGGCUUUCACUCUGUUAAAUGAAAUUCUUGAGUUUUCACCCCCUCAGCUUGCCAGUUCUGGCUCAGUGGGGCAAUGCAUCCUUUUCUCCCAGCUCCCCUCUUCCCCAAGCACCUACAGAAAACUGCCUUUGACUGUUGGUGAUGCAUAUUAGUAAGGUGGAUUUAAAUAGCAUACCCAGGCAAAUAAAUCGCUUACAGCAUUUGAACUACUGCUGUGGGGGAGUUGCAUUGGCCCGCAGCAGAC